rnacentral:sRNA from 1 species
CCCUUGAUGGUGGCGCGGCGCGGCGAUCGCCUUCGGCGACCACCGAGGUGCGGGAGGCUGAGGUGGAAGAAGGAUUGCUCCAGUGGAGGUGGAGGUGGAGGCGGAGGCGGAAGCGGAGGUAGGCUGAAGAGGAGCGAGGUGAUCACUUGAUGGAUUUUGCUUGUGUGCCUAGUGGUAGGCAAGUCUGAUUCUUGGCUGUGGUUGAAGUUAAUUGAAAGGGGGGUAUAUAAUCUUUUUUGUUCUCUUCCUCUCUCCUCUCUACCUUAAUUUGUGUGUCUGAAUGUGUGUUUGCUAUUCUGAACUUCUGAUGAUGAGUUUUCCUUUCAGUUGGUCGGUUUGAUUGUGUGUCAUGUCAUUUAUCUGGAGUUGUGUUGUGUGGCAUGGCCAUGUGUCGUGUGUGUGAUAUGUUAUAAAGAAAGAAAGAAGUGAAGUAUUAAUUGGGAGAAGGAAGAAAAUGAAUGC